rnacentral:tRNA from 1 species
UCCCUUGUGGCUCAGCUGGUAAAGAAUCCACCUGCAAUGUGGGAGACCUGGGUUCCAUCCCCAGGUUGGGAA